rnacentral:rRNA from 1 species
GGGUUAAGUCCGUAACGAGCGCAACCCUUGUCCUUAGUUACCAGCACGUUAUGGUGGGCGACUCUAAGGAGACUGCCGGUGACAAACCGGAGGAAGGUGGGGAGUGACGUCAAGUCAUCAUGGCCCUUACGGCCUGGGCUACACACGUGCUACAAUGGUCGGUACAAAGGGUUGCCAAGCCGCGAGGUGGAGCUAAUCCCAUAAAACCGAUCGUAGUCCGGAUCGCAGUCUGCAACUCGACUGCGUGAAGUCGGAAUCGCUAGUAAUCGUGAAUCAGAAUGUCACGGUGAAUACGUUCCCGGGCCUU